AACGAACGCUGACGGCGGGCCUCAUACAUGCAAGUCGAGCGAGAAAGCCUUCGGGUGAGUAGAGCGGCGCACGGGUGAGUAACGCGUGGGUAAUCUACCUUUUGGAUGGGGAUAACCACUGGAAACGGUGGCUAAUACCGAGUAAGCCUUAUGAUGGUAAACUGAUUAAGGGAAAGAUGGUGCAAGCUAUCGCCAAAAGAUGAGCCUGCGUCCCAUUAGCUUGUUGGUAAGGUAAAAGCUUACCAAGGCUACGAUGGGUAGCUGGUCUGAGAGGAUGACCAGCCACACUGGAACUGAAACACGGUCCAG
rnacentral:rRNA from 1 species